ensembl:lncRNA
GCAGUACUUGUGGUGUGUAAUACAAGUGGGAGCGUGAAGGGAAUACUUGAAGCAUGUAGAGCUUGUGUGUAGAAGUGAUCACCAUCUACAGCAACAGCCCUGUCUCACGCUCUCUUAUAUGCACACCUGUUCUCUUACUGUAUUCCAGAAGACAAAAUCACAAGCCUUACUGUGAAUAUUUACACGUUCUCCACCUUAGUCAGAUGGACCUCUGUAUUUUUCUCCUUUUGAUAGUGUUAAUACCAAAAAGGAGCAGUAAAAUUACACGUAGAUCAAGGGAACAAACCAGGAGAGAUGUUCAGGAAUCACACUGUUCCUUGGCUGAGGAUUUUGAAGGAGAUGUAACAGAACAACAAGCCAUGCUUUUAUCAACCAAAUAUGAGCUUUCUUCACAAUUUUGAAGUAUCUGAUUCAGCCACUUUGAAAUCCAGGAAAGGAUGCUGAAGAAUCCCACGCUUAUAUUCUCAACUGUGAACCAUUACAGCUUCUGAGUGGACUGAUUGAAGAUCUGCAGCCAUCAGGGCUUCAUAUUUGUGCUUUCCAGGUAAUCUGCCUUGUAAGUUACCCUUUGCCACAGGACCAGUCUCUAGAUUGUCAACAUCUACAAAUAUCUUUAGAUAACAUUUUCACACCAAUCAAACUACAAUUACUGAACUGUAAAACAAAUGUAACCUAAAGCAAUGACUUGAGCUGGCAAAGAGUCUCAGAAGGGGCAGUAGCUUAAAUGGUUCCUUGCAGAGACCAUUUGAGGGCAGAGAAUGCUGAAAGGUUAAGUUUGUUUGUAACUGUGGAAGUAGCUACCCUUCUUUCCCCACUGCGUAAGAAAGCUUUUACUUCUGGUGGGAUGCAUUGAUGACAGCUGCUAAUCAGAGGCAGAGGAUACUUUAUCCUGCAUCUAACUUUCUUUAUCCUACAUCUAAGUUCCUUCAACCAACUGUUCGUGGCACUGUGUCAGUAAUGACUUACUAGCACUUCAAGAUUUCUGGAAAUUCCUUGGCUCUCCUCCUAUUACCACUCCCAAGUUGGAAUACAAGGAAACUUGGCUGGAAAAUAUUAACAACCUUUGUGUUUUGUCUGCGUAGAGAAAAGAAUUGCUAUAAAUUGACUGCUGCUAGCUUGGGUAUUUUAAAGAAGAUUAGCAGAAUGGAUUGAUUUGAAAUGGACUAUAAUCCCAUAAAGAAUAAGAUCGUUCCACAAAAGAAAUUUUCUUAAAGAGACAAAAACUGGUAAAUCUACGUACAUGCACACUGUGCCUAAUUGUAAGAGGAAGUUAAUAGAACGGUAAAUAGUUAACCUCAUCAGUCUGGAGACUUCUGGCACUCGUGACUGAUGGCUUGAAAAUGAAUUUGAGGUAGAAAUAAUAAUAAAAAAGGCGAAGCAUAGUCACAGUCAGUACAGUGUUGAUAAUACUUGUUUGGCUCUUAAGAUUUGCAUCUGCUGUGAUCCAACAGAGAUCACAAGUUAGCAGUGGCUUCCCAGCGAGGGACUGAAAGUAUACAGGAUUACGUACCACUGAAAGACAUACGUGUGCCCUUGCUUUUUUCUGCAAGUAUCUGGAUAUCUGCAUUUUGCAUGUGGGGAUGUUCCGAGUAUUACCUCUGCAGGUAAGAAUUCCAAGAAUCAUCGAGUCCAGCAUUGACUCAAGCAGACAAAGAUAGUUUAAUGUUGAAGAUGUGGGAUGUUCAUGGAAAAGAAUGUGAAAGAAUGUCUUUGAAUAAAUCUUACAUCUGUUCUGCAAACAACAUGCUUAUCACAAGAUGACUCUGAAGGCUUAUGAGAGACAUCAAGCAUGGUUAGAUGAGCAAACCGGGCUUGGAAUUCAGCCACGUCCUUGGACCUUCCUACACAAAAAUGUUAAUAACAAUCACACUUGUUCCUAAAACAAGAACAGACAGAAUUGUGCACUCGUUCAUCUGGAUUGAUCCUGCCGGGUGACGAAGCUUUGCUGCAAUAGCACUGCUACAGUGAGAAGUUACACAGACCCAUAACUUUGCAUAAUCCUUUUUGGCACUGUUUUUCUCUGCCCUCCAGGACUGAGAGUUUAACCAGCAAAGUGCAGCCAGUGGCUUGCUGGAGGAUUUUGUCUCAGAAGACCCUGACAAUAAGGAUGAGAAAAAUCUACUGGCAAUCUGGAAAACAGCCAUUUGAAACUUCAAGAUUAUAAAACACUCUUCUAGAUGUGAUCUCUUUUGGGGGGUGGUCUCUCUGGCUGGAAAUAUUCUGUUUCUUUCCACAUUACCAACCAGAAAACAGUGAAACAUCCUUGACCAGUAUUUCUCCAGACACAAUGGUGAGCAGUCCCCUGUACAGGCAACUUGUGCACAAGGAACCAUUUAUUAAACAAGAUCUCAACACAGACUGUUGGAGUCACAGCAAAAUCAGUGCAGAUGAAAGCAGCAAGUCCUAAUUGCAAUGGCUCUAAAUAGGAUGGCAGGGGAAUUCUCCUAGCUGCAGAACAUUUUCUUGCUGGUCAGCCUUGACAGCUCACCGUUGCUUGAGGAAACAGAGCCAAGCUAUCACUUUUAGCACUUCAGCAGGUGAUUAACCAGCAGCUGAGUCAUCCCUGUCCAGGGCUACCACAUCCCAAACCAAGGGAGGGGUGGAUUGCUGGGGAAAGGAAGCACAACAAAUCUUCCUCUGCUAAUUCAUGCCAUCUGGAAGCAACAGCCUGUGGGCCUGCAGCUUUAUUUGCAAAAUAUUGUUUACAAUUUUUAUUACAAAGACUAUAGGGAAUAAGACUUAAUUAUAUUUAACAGUUCAUCAUCAUUACACAAACUGUUGUUCAACAUUCAGCUUCAGAAAACAGGAAGCAAUACUCAUAAGAUUGGUUUCUCGGGCCUUUUUUUUCUCCAGACUAUUGUUGGUAAGAUGUCAAACAAUUAGAUGGGAAAACUGGAAUGGAACCCAGUGUCAUGCAGUUGGAGUCUUUUGGUGUGAGAGGGCUCUUUGGUGAGCCACAAAGGAUAUGAGCUGUUGCAGUCUUGACUCAUCAAUUUUGCUGGUGGUAAUCCAAGCUUGUACGGGAGGUCUCUUGGCCUAAGAGUUUGUAAUAGAAGGGCAACAAACACAGAUGAUCCACUGCAAACAGACGCUGUGCGGUGCCUGCAGCUCACGUGUUCCAGCACUUGCACAAUCACUCUAAGUGCAAAAUUACAUAAAACCAGCAUUAACCCUACCAGAACUGUUCUCCUUAAGCUGCAGAGUUAGCAGUUCUAAUCAAGUGAAGGAGCCCACAGACGUGAGAACUAGCAGAUGGCUUUAGGUGCAUGUAGGCAAGGGCAAAAGGAUUGGGGAAGGGGGCAGGAUCUCCACCAAAUGGCAACAGGAAGCUGUUCAAUAGCUCAGCCCUCCAAUUUAACUCCCACUUUGUUUCCAGAUCUCAGCUGCAACUUAAUAUCUAUAUAUUUUUAUACUAGUUGAUAGUGAUAUAAGCUCCUUUCCUUCUAGUACAACCAAUAAUCAAACACAAAAUGCUGAAAGAUAAAUGUACACAGUGGAUUAUUCAUUAACCCAUAGUGCAAGAAAGCCAAAUUCACAAACAAAGUAACACUUUAGAACACUUGGUUACAGUCAAAACAUGUCUUGAAAAAUCACUUUGACCUGUUGUUUCCACCAUAAGGAACUAUCCAUUGCAGUUCCACCCUGAUGUGAGGCUGGGCUGAAUUUCUGCCAUAAAGACUGGGUGAGCAAGUGGACAAGUUUGUUUUCUCUAAGGAAAGACGCACUGCAGUCUACCCUCAGGACAAGGGAAUUGGAUGAGAAUGAGGCUCCAGGAUUCUGUAAGGGUGCAUGAAUGGAGGCAAGACAGUCCCAGUCUUUCCUUUUUGCCUCCAUUGCCGUGGACAGAAGGAGGAGUUGGGAACUUAGUAUGUGAUGCAGGUUCUGGAGGAAGUUAUGUGAAAGCAUACAAACAUCAGGAGUGUGAUAUCAACAGGUGAAUAUCAGAAUAUGAGGCAUAUCAAGCAGCUGCACACCUCCAUACUACAACCACAGCCUGAGACAUAUGCUGAGAGCCCAACACUCACAGGGAAGAAACACAGCCUAAGAGCACAGCUUUCCAUUCUGAGAACCUCAUGAGAAUUGCAGUGUGUGAGCCUCGAGCUACAAAUUCAAGAGUCACCGGCAGUACUGGUGAUGCCCCAGGCCUACGAAGAACAGGGCACAGACUGCACCUACCCUGCCCACAUGCAACAGCUGUGACUGAGGCACAGACUUCAUCUACUGACUUAGGAGCUCUCAUACUGCAGGGGCAAGAGAAGUUCUAAGCAGUAUCCAAAAAAGUGAAGUAGCUAUGGCCAAGAUAUGUGCUUUUUUUUUUUUUUUUAAAUAAAGUCUGAUUUUAGAUUGGCAAU